GACGAACGCUGGCGGCGUGCCUAAUACAUGCAAGUUGAGCGCUGAAGGUUGGUACUUGUACCAACUGGAUGAGCAGCGAACGGGUGAGUAACGCGUGGGGAAUCUGCCUUUGAGCGGGGGACAACAUUUGGAAACGAAUGCUAAUACCGCUUAAAAACUUUAAACACAAGUUUUAAGUUUGAAAGAUGCAAUUGCAUCACUCAAAGAUGAUCCCGCGUUGUAUUAGCUAGUUGGUGAGGUAAAGGCUCACCAAGGCGAUGAUACAUAGCCGACCUGAGAGGGUGAUCGGCCACAUUGGAACUGAGACACGGCCCAACUCCUACGGGAGGCAGCAGUAGGGAAUCUUAGGCAAUGGACGAAAGUCUGACCGAGCAACGCCGCGUGAGUGAAGAAGGUUUUCGGAUCGUAAAACUCUGUUGGUAGAGAAGAACGUUGGUGAGAGUGGAAAGCUCAUCAAGUGACGGUAACUACCCAGAAAGGGACGGCUAACUACGUG
rnacentral:rRNA from 1 species